rnacentral:miRNA from 9 species
UAUGCAUCUCAUCUGCGCAUCC